CCUGGUAUUAACUGUUCCUUUUGCUUUUCUAAUAGAGUGCUGUGAAGGCAAAUGGGCUGUUGAGCCUCUGGGAGACUAGAUGUGGUGGCUGUAGCUGGCAGUGAUCAGUUGUGUGAUGAGGGCAGUUGCCUGCUUUGCUCCACCAUGUCUGAACCUCUAGCAAGUAAGGUUGGUUGCUGCAAAGGCUCUGGACUGUUGAGCCUCUGGGAGACGAGAUGUGGUGGCUGUAGCUGUUAGUGAUCAGUUGUGUGAUGAGGGCAGUGGCCUGGUUUUACUCCAACAUGAUGAAUCUGUAGCAAGUAAGAAUGGGUGCUGCAAAGGCUCUGGGCUGUUGAGCCUCUGGGAGACAAGAUGUGGUGGCUGUAGCUGUUAGUGAAUCAGUUGUGUGAUGAGGGCAGUGGCUUGGUUUGCUUGACCACAUGUGCCGCUGCAUCAGGGGAGAUUGAAUGGUUGAGAUUUGUCAGAAGUUGUCCUGGGACCUGCUGUGAUUUCAGUGCACUAGCAGAAAGCUGUCUUCUGCUAAUGAUGUCCCUCUCCAUGCUGCUGCCUGUGAUCACUUGUCCAAGCUACAGCAUUCACAUCACCCUGCCAGCGGCUCUGGUCUUUUCUCAGACCUAGCAGGAGUGAUAAAUUGGUGUCCUGCCAACUUACAGACAGAGGGUGUUACAUUUUUCUUUCCCUUGGUAUGAGGCAUUUAACUGUCAUGGAUUCUGGAACUAGCUGUAUGUUUAAUGUAAUUGGAUGCUUUUGUCUCCGAGGGCUGCAUUCUAAGGGCUGACAGCUAAUGCUGCCCUACCACAACCAUGAGAAGUAAGGAAGCUUUUCCUCAGAGCAGUUGUCAAGUUGGGGAGGAUGCACUGCUGUGUAAAGAGGGUGGGAUUCAAGUCUUGGCUCUCUCCUGUCAUCCAGGAAACUUUAGUGAUGUAUCAUUGGCAGCCUGUAAAGUGGGGAAGUGGAUGCUGCAGCACAGUGUCAUUUCUGUACUGUUUAGAGCCUGUUUUUAAUAAAAUCUGAGUAUUAGAUGAA